rnacentral:rRNA from 1 species
GAUGAACGCUAGCUACAGGCUUAACACAUGCAAGUCGAGGGGCAGCAUUUUUAUAGCAAUAUAAAAGAUGGCGACCGGCGCACGGGUGAGUAACACGUAUCCAACCUGCCGAUAACUCGGGGAUAACCCUUCGAAAGAAGGCCUAAUACCCGAUGGUAUCUUAAGCACGCAUGAGAUUAAGAUUAAAGAUUUAUCGGUAAGCGAUGGGGAUGCGUUCCAUUAGGCAGUUGGCGGGGUAACGGCCCACCAAACCUACGAUGGAUAGGGGUUCUGAGAGGAAGGUCCCCCACAUUGGAACUGAGACACGGUCCAA